rnacentral:lncRNA from 10 species
GGGAAAGCUGGCAAUCACAGGCCUCACCCAGCUCCCACGCAAUCCGAAGGGCAGGUCUCACUCCCACCAUGCCCCGCCUCACAGCACUGAGUCUGUUUCCAGAAAGUGGGCAAGCAGGGCUGAGAAUUUGCCUUGGGCUACUUGCCUCCCAGGCGGAGGUGGUGAGCGGAGAUUGCGCCAUCGCACUCCAGCCUGGGCAACAAGAGCAAAACUCCAUCUCAAUAAUAAAAAAAAAGAUACUAAGGCUUUAGUUCUUCCCCGGCCUGUGGAGUCUGCUUGCUGGAUUCAUGCCCUUCCCCCCAAGCAGAGUUCUGGCCAGGAGGCUUCUGAACAGGUUCAAAUUGUUACAAAGAUCAGCUGGAGAGUUCCUUCUCCCUGUGGCGUUUUCCCUGCACCUCUGGCCACCCUCCGGAAGGAUCCCUAUGGUGCCAGGCAGGAAUGACCUGCUUGGGGACCCAGUGAGCUCACAGGGCCUUUCCCACUUCUUCCUCUACCUGUGUAUUUCACUUGGCUCUCUACAUCGACUCAGCUCCAGCCAUGUGAAGUGCCUCACUCCCUGUUCACCUUCCACCAUGAUUUUAAGUUCUGUGAGGCCUCCCUAGAAGCUGAUGCCACCAUGUUUCCUGUACAACCUGCAGAAUGGAAGCCUGUCAGCCAGCAGCAUGAAUUCGAGCCACAUGUGCAUACAAUAUGGUGAAUGCCGCAGUCUGUUGCUAGGUGCUUCAUGGAGAGAGUUUGUCGCUUUUUUGUCCUUUUGCCUUCUGCCACAUAAGGACACGGAAUUCCUCUCCAGAAGUAGCAGUUAAGAGGCCUUCUUGGAAGCAGAGACCAACUGCUUAGAAACAGAGACCUCACCAGACAACAAACCUGCCAGCACCUGUGCCUUGAUCUCAAACUUUGCAGCCCCAGAACGAUUAUUUCUGUCUGGUGAAACUAAUCAUUCCAGAGUUCUUCAGCUUUUGGACUCUUGGACUUACAACAGUGGUUUGCAAG